rnacentral:rRNA from 1 species
GGUGAAAUGCGAUAGAGAUGUGGAGGAACACCAGUGGCGAAGGCGACUCUCUGGUCUGUAACUGACGCUGAGGAGCGAAAGCGUGGGGAGCGAACAGGAUUAGAUACCCUGGUAGUCCACGCCGUAAACGAUGAGUGCUAAGUGUUAGGGGGUUUCCGCCCCUUAGUGCUGCAGCUAACGCAUUAAGCACUCCGCCUGGGGAGUACGGUCGCAAGACUGAAACUCAAAGGAAUUGACGGGGGCCCGCACAAGCGGUGGAGCAUGUGGUUUAAUUCGAAGCAACGCGAAGAACCUUACCAGGUCUUGACAUCCUCUGACAAUCCUAGAGAUAGGACGUCCCCUUCGGGGGCAGAGUGACAGGUGGUGCAUGGUUGUCGUCAGCUCGUGUCGUGAGAUGUUGGGUUAAGUCCCGCAACGAGCGCAACCCUUGAUCUUAGUUGCCAGCAUUCAGUUGGGCACUCUAAGGUGACUGCCGGUGACAAACCGGAGGAAGGUGGGGAUGACGUCAAAUCAUCAUGCCCCUUAUGACCUGGGCUACACACGUGCUACAAUGGACAGAACAAAGGGCAGCGAAACCGCGAGGUUAAGCCAAUCCCACAAAUCUGUUCUCAGUUCGGAUCGCAGUCUGCAACUCGACUGCGUGAAGCUGGA